UACGGAGGGUGCAAGCGUUAAUCGGAAUUACUGGGCGUAAAGCGCACGCAGGUGGCUGAGAAAGUCGAUUGUGAAGCCCUGGGCUUAACCUGGGAAUUGCAGUCGAAACUACUCGGCUAGAGUAUGGGAGAGGGUAGUGGAAUUCCCGGUGUAGCGGUGAAAUGCGUAGAUAUCGGGAGGAACAUCAGUGGCGAAGGCGGCUA
rnacentral:rRNA from 1 species